UGUGGGAGGGGGCUUGCUCCCGAUAGCGGUGGCUCAGUCAUAUAUGCAUCGACUGACACUCUGCUAUCGGGAGCAAGCCCCCUCCCACA
rnacentral:misc_RNA from 1 species